rnacentral:lncRNA from 1 species
AACUGAGGGACACAUUUAAAUCUUCCUCUCUAAUUCCCUUCUCCUUUCUAGGAACUAAAAUCUCACUUCCCUGUCUGCCUGAACUCUGAAGCUAGAACAAAACUAAAGGUCAAAACUCAAGAGGCGUAAACUGCAAUACCUAAAAGGAGCACACGGGGGCGUCCAAAACACAUGAAGAAGGAUUAGAUGGAAGUAAAAGAGUUUAUGGACAUUUCUUUCUGGGAAAAUAAAGCUGCCUGAUGGAGCUGACAAGCCACUGGUGGCUUUGGAGAGAAAGCACGCUCAUAAUAGGGAGGAGGAGAAGAAUCUUCCAAUCACCGGCCGCAAUUAGGGCUCCUCCACCACUCACCCCGCUUCCCCAUGAAUGAACAUUGACGUCAAUCGGGCGGAGAAGACCCCCCCAUGUGAUCUACUGGCUCCUCUUUAUAAAGAGGCGGGGCGGGCGCUGUCCAGCGUGCUGAAGCUUGGGGAAGCAAGCUAGCGGGAGAGACGGAGAAUCGACCACGCGAAGAGAGACCAGCUGGAAACUGACCGAGGCGACAGUCGAACGCAGCUCAGGGACCGAAACUCGGAGCAUCUCCUACCUCAAAAUCCCGACCCUUCCCAUUCCUCGAAUCCUAGCUGGUAAAUACUAUUCUGUCAUUCUGUCCACUCCCUUAUCCCUCCCCCCCCCCCAAUUUGGCUAUAUGCUGAAAGGAUAUCUCCUCUAGUUUGGGGGAAGGGGUAGCGCCAAGGGGACCUUAAGAAGAUAGAAGAGAGGAUGAUAUCUCCCCCUUUUCCCAGAUAGAGCCGCCUACGCUCGAUCUGGAGAGUCCCGUGGGGAGCAGAUAUUUUUUUCUCAGCCUUGAAGCAACGUGGGCGGUGACAGGAAGAUAGCUCCGAGAAGGAGCGGGGGCGAAGUGGAGGUGGGGGAAACACAGACGUGAGCGUUGCCAGGCGUUCCCCUCCGGUUUUAGGACUCCAUAGAUUAUAAUAUCUCCAUUUUCUCCCAGGGUCCGUGUCUUGACACUUCUGGGUUUGAGAGAAGUCGAGAUAAUAGGAGUGGAUAGCACUUCAAGGGUAGCUCCUAGAGAAACGCUAGAUUUUGAGGUCGUGAAGGGAAUUUAAGGAGCAGACAUACUGAAGCCCUGACAGCUUCUCUCGUUUCACUUGCCUUUCCCUUCCCCCCCCCCUUUAUUUUUCUUUUCUAUAGAGUGGAAAUCAUUCUUUCCCCAGUUCAAUAUGGAUUUACGCGCCCCUCCGCCUCUUCUGCCUUCU